UCAGGAUGAACGCUGGCGGCGUGCUUAACACAUGCAAGUCGAACGAAGCACUUUAUUUGAUUUCCUUCGGGACUGAUUAUUUUGUGACUGAGUGGCGGACGGGUGAGUAACGCGUGGGUAACCUGCCUUGUACAGGGGGAUAACAGUUGGAAACGACUGGUAAUACCGCAUAAGCGCACAGUACCGCAUGGUACAGUGUGAAAAACUCCGGUGGUAUAAGAUGGACCCGCGUCUGAUUAGCUAGUUGGCAGGGUAACGGCCUACCAAGGCGACGAUCAGUAGGGGUUCUGAGAGGAAGGUCCCCCACAUUGGAACUGAGACACGGUCCAAACUCCUACGGGAGGCAGCAGUGAGGAAUAUUGGUCAAUGGGCGAGAGCCUGAACCAGCCAAGUAGCGUGCAGGAUGACGGCCCUAUGGGUUGUAAACUGCUUUUAUAAGGGAAUAAAGUGAGUCUCGUGAGACUUUUUGCAUGUACCUUAUGAAUAAGGACCGGCUAAUUCCGUGCCAGCAGCCGCGGUAAUACGGAAGGUCCGGGCGUUAUCCGGAUUUAUUGGGUUUAAAGGGAGCGUAGGCCGGAGAUUAAGCGUGUUGUGAAAUGUAGACGCUCAACGUCUGCACUGCAGCGCGAACUGGUUUCCUUGAGUACGCACAAAGUGGGCGGAAUUCGUGGUGUAGCGGUGAAAUGCUUAGAUAUCACGAAGAACUCCGAUUGCGAAGGCAGCUCACUGGAGCGCAACUGACGCUGAAGCUCGAAAGUGCGGGUAUCGAACAGGAUUAGAUACCCUGGUAGUCCGCACGGUAAACGAUGGAUGCCCGCUGUUGGUCUGAAUAGGUCAGCGGCCAAGCGAAAGCAUUAAGCAUCCCACCUGGGGAGUACGCCGGCAACGGUGAAACUCAAAGGAAUUGACGG
rnacentral:rRNA from 1 species